AGGACGAACGCUGGCGGCGUGCUUAACACAUGCAAGUCGAGCGGUAAGGCUCCUUCGGGAGCACACGAGCGGCGAACGGGUGAGUAACACGUGAGCAAUCUGCCCUUCUCUUCGGAAUAACCAUUGGAAACGAUGGCUAAUGCCGAAUACGACCUCCUUUCGCAUGAUCGGAGGUGGAAAGCUCCGGCGGAGAAGGAUGAGCUCGCGGCCUAUCAGCUAGUUGGCGGGGUAACGGCCCACCAAGGCGACGACGGGUAGCCGGCCUGAGAGGGUGACCGGCCACGACUGGGACUGAGACACGGCCCAGACUCCUACGGGAGGCAGCAGUGGGGAAUAUUGGACAAUGGGACGAAAGCCUGAUCCAGCAACGCCGCGUGAGGAUGACGGCCUUCGGGUGUAAACCUCUUUCAGUCAGGACGGAGCGAAAGUGAACGUACUGCACGAAGAACGGACCGGCCAACGUACGUGCCAGCAGCCGC
rnacentral:rRNA from 1 species